AGACUCCAACAUGAUUUUCACAUGCCAACUACUACGCAAUCACAGGUAAACAAAGAUCUAGAAACAAGCACGGCAGAGAUGGAAGCAAGAUUGGGACAUAGAGGAUAGGUUAAGGAAGGCAACAACUCUAGUAGAAUAGUUGAAAAAAGAAAAUGAGGAGUUAAAACAACAACAUGCUACCACGCCGCCAGUUAACUAUGAACAAACGAAAGGUGAGAGAGACGCCCAUAGUACAGGAGGAGCCGAUGCUGAGGAUUGGGAAAAGAGGAAGCUACAUGAUGAACUUAAAAGUCUCGUUGAUAAGUAUGAAGAAAUGGCGAAAAUGUUAGGAGGCUCCUCAUCCGUAGAGGAAUUGUUUAAUGAGACGGAUCUUCCUUAUAGUGAUGAGGUGAUGGCAGUACCACUUCCGCCUAGAUUCAAGGUCCUUCAGAUUGACAUGUAUAACGGAUCUAGGGAUCCUGUGGAUCACUUGAAAAACUUUAAAGCACAUAUGAAGAAACCUUUGCUUUAUACGAAAGCCUCUUGUUUCGGUUUCUUCUUCCCCUUGUGCUUCAUCCCCACAAUUCUCCAACCAUCUCUUCAUUUUUGAAGAGUAAUCCAGCCAAAAAUUUCCCCAAGAAGGGAGAUUACACAGUUGGAUGGUAACUGAGUAGAAGAAAGACAGCUAGAGCCCAAACAUCGUGCACCAUAGCUUGGGAAGGAAUUAUUCAAGUUCAAAGGGAACCAAGAGUGAAGCUCCAAGGUAAGUAGCUACAACCAUGCACCUGACAUGGAAUUUUCUUCUACUAAACGCUUUCUUUAUUCAAGAGCUUCAUGUGAUGAAAAGCUAAAUGUAUGUUAUGUAUAAACCUUCUUGGUAGCCUAUGUUAAGUAUCCAAUAAAUUAUGAAUGUGUGUAUAUGUAUGAUAUAAAGCAUGCACAAUAAAGGUUUAGAUCAUGAGGUUUAUCAUUCACAUGUUUUCUUUAAAGAUAGUGAUUUUCCUUCCUAUAAAAGUAUAGUGUGAAAUUCAUUCUUAUGAAAGAAAAUGCAUGUUGCGUUGGACUAAGAAAGAUGAUGAAAUGCUAUGAGUGGAAAAGGAAAUGAAAGAAAAGAAAUGGAGGAUUUUGUAUGAAAACAUGUAAAUGGCUAAUGAUGAAAUGAAAUGGUACCAAAGGAAAGGUGUUGAUUGCAAUGCCGGAUCGGUCCCAUUGGUAGCGUACCCAAUGACUAAGGAAUUUCCUAACCCUUGGCUAUGGGCAAAGAUUAGAUUUAAAAAACCGCUAACCCUAAUACAGAUGGCGUAAAAGUGUGUACUGGUCAAAGAAAAGUGAAAAUUGAACUUGAAUGCUUAUUUAGAUGUUUUAUGUUUAUUUCAAUGUCUUAACCUUGUAUGGCUUUUCAAAGAGAUGAUAGUUGAUAUAUGUUAUUUUAAAUCCUUGGAGUACUACUUACUAAGUAUUAGAUCACAUUUGUGUUAAAGUCUUAAAUGUCCAAGAAAUCUCGAGGACAAAACUGUGGAGCAAGACAUUGCUAGGGAAGGGGAGCUGAAUGCUUAGAUUUAGCUUGGGGAUGGGUCUCUUUUAUUUGAUGUUGGAUUAUUUUGGUUGAGUUGUAAAACUAAUUUUGGGGCAUGUAUUUUGAGACAAAGUGGUUUUUUUUUUUGUGAACCGGGUAGAUGUUUCUAUCCAGGGGACAAUUAUAGUUUUUAAAUUUGUAAUUAAUGGGACCAUUCCAUGCUUUGACAAAUAGGUUAUUUUGUGACUUUAAAAUAUGAUAGAAACUGGGAAGGUCCCUUUUCUAAAUUUAGCAUGAUAAAUAGGUCUCUUUUAUAAACUGUUGCUUUAUUAGGGAAAAAAAAAAAGCAGGAUGAAAUGUAACAACUCGUCCCACUCUAUGGAGGGAUUAUUAUAGCAAGCACUAGGCACCUUUAUGAUACGCGUGGCGCAUGAGGAGUUUUGUUGGCGAUGGGGUCUAGCUAGAUGUUGUUGAGUGUGCUUGGGAGCUAAUUGGGCCAAUUAACUCAUCCACUUUGUCAUGCAGCACUGUACACUCAAAAUUUAGGCCUUGUGCUCCCACUACAGAAAAGUCGAAAUUUAUAGAGAUGCAUACCCGAGAGAUCAUGGCGUAUAAGAUGAGGCCUUUACACAUGAGGCAUCAUGCACUACUAUUCGUGAGGAGAUUGCAAAUAUAAUAUGUGUAGAGAGUCAUACACAGACAAUAAAAACGAUUGUUGUAGUGUGUAUGGAGGUUCAGCGUGUUAUCUUUGACUUACAUAUAGAGUUUGCUAGCAUCUCUAAGACUCAUGUGUAUGGAGAUCCAGAGUUUGCUACAGUGUAUAUAUCUUUUGCAAUUUUUUAGUUUUUUGUAUGGACACUUCAUGUUUUGUAAAAUUUAUUUAAUUAUGAAUUGUCCUUUUCUUUAAUUAUGAA